GACGAACGCUGGCGGCGUGCCUAAUACAUGCAAGUUGAGCGCUGAAGGUUGGUACUUGUACCAACUGGAUGAGCAGCGAACGGGUGAGUAACGCGUGGGGAAUCUGCCUUUGAGCGGGGGACAACAUUUGGAAACGAAUGCUAAUACCGCAUAAAAACUUUAAACACAAGUUUUAAGUUUGAAAGAUGAAAUUGCAUCACUCAAAGAUGAUCCCGCGUUGUAUUAGCUAGUUGGUGAGGUAAAGGCUCACCAAGGCGAUGAUACAUAGCCGACCUGAGAGGGUGAUCGGCCACAUUGGGACUGAGACACGGCCCAAACUCCUACGGGAGGCAGCAGUAGAGAAUCUUCGGCAAUGGACGAAAGUCUGACCGAGCAACGCCGCGUGAGUGAAGAAGGUUUUCGGAUCGUAAAACUCUGUUGGUAGAGAAGAACGUUGGUGAGAGUGGAAAGCUCAUCAAGUGACGGUAACUACCCAGAAAGGGACGGCUAACUACGUG
rnacentral:rRNA from 1 species